rnacentral:rRNA from 1 species
AUUGAACGCUGGCGGCAUGCCUUACACAUGCAAGUCGAACGGCAGCACGGGUGCUUGCACCUGGUGGCGAGUGGCGAACGGGUGAGUAAUACAUCGGAACGUACCUUAUCGUGGGGGAUAACGCAGCGAAAGUUGCGCUAAUACCGCAUACGCCCUGAGGGGGAAAGCGGGGGACCGUAAGGCCUCGCGCGAUUAGAGCGGCCGAUGUCUGAUUAGCUUGUUGGUGAGGUAAAAGCUCACCAAGGCGAUGAUCAGUAGCUGGUCUGAGAGGACGAUCAGCCACACUGGGACUGAGACACGGCCCAGCCUCCUACGGGAGGCAGCAGUUGGGAAUUUUGGACAAUGGGGGCAACCCUGAUCCAGCAAUGCCGCGUGAGUGAAGAAGGCCUUCGGGUUGUAAAGCUCUUUUGUCAGGGAAGAAACAGCAGCUCUAACACAGUCUGCGAAUGACGGUACCUGAAGAAUAAGCACCGGCUAACUACGUGCCAGCCGCCGCAGUAA